UUGUAGUAUGUGGAAAAUAUAUUGAAUAGAUUGGAAAAAUAAUUAGAAACGUCAAAGGCGAGAUGAUAACCAAAAAUGAUUUGUAUAAGAAAAGCUUAUGCUGAAGACAUUUAUCAAGUAAUGACAGAUAUCUUCAUCCAGUCGAGAUAAUGACUUAGGAUUUAAGAAUAAUGCAAUGAAUAAAUUUAUAUAUUUAUCUUCUGAGAAAUUAAAUCUAAUCUUCGAACACGUACUACAUCAAUGUAAACAUUACUGUAUUGUAGAAAACUCCAAUCGACCAACUUUUGGAAAUGUUGAUAUAAAAUAUUCUAACAUAUACAACAGUCUAUAAUAUUAAUUAAGCAAUAGGCUGUUGAUCCGAUUCACACGAAUAAAAUGACGAGGUAUUGGAAAUUUACUUAUUUCGUAUUUUGUUUUAUACACAUGAUAAUGUGCUCGGAAUGGAA